UACGUAGGUGGCAAGCGUUAUCCGGAAUUAUUGGGCGUAAAGCGCGCGCAGGCGGCCUUUUAAGUCUGAUGUGAAAGCCCACGGCUCAACCGUGGAAGGUCAUUGGAAACUGAGAGGCUUGAGUACAGAAGAGGAAAGCGGAAUUCCACGUGUAGCGGUGAAAUGCGUAGAGAUGUGGAGGAACACCAGUGGCGAAGGCGGCUUUC
rnacentral:rRNA from 1 species